AAAAAGAAAAAUGUGCAAAGUAUUUUACCAGAUGCUUCACAAAAGAAUACAUAUGAAUGGCCAGGAAACCUAUGUCAAGAUGCUCAACAUCUUUAGUCGUUAGGGAAAUGCAAGUCAAAACCAUGAGGAGAUAGCACUUCACAUCCAGUAGCAUGACUAAGACAAAAAAGAUAGUAACAAAUGUUAAUGAGGAUUGGAGAGAUUAGAACCCUCUUACAUCACUGGUGGGUAUAAAAUAUUACAGCCACUUUGGAAAACAGUUUACCAUGUCUUCACAAUGCUAAACAGGGCUGGCCCCGUGGCCAAGCGGUUAAGUUCAUGCGCUCCGCUUCAGCGGCCCAGGGUUUCGCUGUUUUGGAUCCUGGGCACAGACGUGGCACUGCUCAUCAAGCCAUGCUGAGGUGGCGUCCCACAUGCCACAACUCGAAGGACCCACAACUAAAAUAUACGACUGUGUACCAGGGGGCUUUGGGGAGAAAGAGGAAAAAUAAAAUCUUUAAAAAAAAAUGCUAAACAUACGGUUACCAUGUGAGCCAUCAGUUCCAUUCCUAGGUAUAUACCCAAGAGAAUUGAAAACAUGUCCAUACAAAAACAUGCCCACGAAUGUUCAGCAUUAUUCAUAGUAGCCUGAGACUGGAACAAACACAAAUAUAAUGAACACAACAGAUACCAUGUAUAAUAAUUCACAAAAUGUGAAUGGAUAGACAAAUUGUAGUAUUUCCAUAUAAUGGAGCAAUAAAAGGUAAUAAACUAAUGAUAUACCCAACAGCUUGGUUAAAUCUCAAAAACAUUCUAAGUAAAAGAAGUCAGACACAAAAGAGUACACACUGUGUGACUCCCAUUUAUAAAACUUUAGAAAACGUAAUCUAUAAUGACCACUGAUGAAUCUGUGGUUGCCUGUGGCUAAGGGUUGGAGAGCAACUGACUGAAAAUAGGGCCAUAGGGAACUAUUGGAAUGAUCUGUAUUGUGUUUGUGGUGAUGGUUCCAUGACUAUUCUUUUGUUAAAGUCAUCAAACUAUACAGUUGAAAUGGAU
rnacentral:lncRNA from 1 species